GGGCGAAUGGUUUAGUGGUAUAAUACUCCCUUAGCAUGAUUCUUACAUCUGGGAGUGGUCCAGGGUUCGAUUCCCUGUUCGUCCA